AAGCCAAGAGGAAAGUGCUGCACUUGAGCUGUAAGAUUGUGCAGAGCAACCUACAUUCAGCAGCUUAAAGACACCGAGAGACAGGGAGGCUGGAAAGGAUGGGACACAGCGAAGAGUGACAGGAAGAUGGAGGAAGAAAAGAAAAGAGUGCAUAACAGGAAAAAGGGUUCAAUAUUUCUACUUUGCCAGAAACUUCCGGCUUCCCCAACCAUUUGAACCAUCGGGAUUGGUCUGUUAUUUUGGGUGCUGUUGAGGAUCAACCCUGAAAACCACAGAGUCAAUUCCCUGUGGAAGAUCUAGGAGGAGCUGUUUGUUGGGCUGGAGGAACUGCCCUGUGGCGGCUCUUUGAGAGGUUAAGCUGGAGAUUGUCAUUGCCCAAGGUGAACUGGCUUUCAGUGGUAAACCGGGUGGAAACUAGAAAGCCGACUUCAGGAUGAGCUCUGGGGCUUGGGUUAUGUUGUGGUUGAGCUGGUAAACCCAUGAGGUGAGCAGAUCCUAACCCCGCACAUGCACGAGAGACGCUUGUUUAUCUACCGAUUCAUCUGUGAGCCUUGAGAGAGCGUUAUUUGAGAACAUCGCUGGAUUGUGAUCUGAAGCAGUCUUGUAAAACCCUUUUAACAAACAAAAGCCAGUUCCUGUGUAAUGUCAUCCUACAGGAAGUGACAUCAUUUUGGAGGGAAAUCAACAGCAGCGCAAAAAUCGGUCAGCAAAACGGAUGGUCCGGCAAUGGUAGAGCCAAGGUUGCGGUGUCAAGCUAGUU